rnacentral:rRNA from 1 species
UACGUAGGGUGCGAGCGUUACUCGGAAUUACUGGGCGUAAAGCGUGCGCAGGCGGUCCGCAAAGUCUGAUGUGAAAGCCCCGGGCUCAACCUGGGAACUGCAUUGGAAACUAACGGGCUCGAGUGUGGCAGAGGGGGGUGGAAUUCCACGUGUAGCAGUGAAAUGCGUAGAGAUGUGGAGGAACACCGAUGGCGAAGGCAGCCCCCUGGGCUAACACUGACGCUCAGGCACGAAAGCGUGGGGAGCAAACAGG